rnacentral:rRNA from 1 species
AUUGAACGCUGGCGGCAGGCCUAACACAUGCAAGUCGAACGAGUGGCGGACGGGUGAGGAAUGUCUGGGAAACUGCCUGAUGGAGGGGGAUAACUAGUGAAAACGGUAUCUAAUACCGCAUACCAUCGGAGGUGCCCAGACGGGAUUAGCUAGUCGGGUGGGGAAAGGCUCAGCUAGGCGACGAUCCAUAGCUGGUCUGAGAGGAGGACCAGCCACACUGGAACUACGACACUGUCCAGACUCCUACGGGAGGCAGCAGUGGGGAUGAUUGCACAAUGGGCGCAAGCCUGAUGCAGCCAUGCCGCGUGUAUGAAGAAGGCCUUCGGGUUGUAAAGUACUUUCAGCGGGGAGGCGUUACCCGCAGAAGAAGCACCGGCUAACUCCGUGCCAGCCGCCGCGGUAAUAC